GAUGAACGCUGGCGGCGUGCCUAAUACAUGCAAGUCGAGCGAACAGACGAGGAGCUUGCUCCUCUGACGUUAGCGGCGGACGGGUGAGUAACACGUGGAUAACCUACCUAUAAGACUGGGAUAACUUCGGGAAACCGGAGCUAAUACCGGAUAAUAUAUUGAACCGCAUGGUUCAAUAGUGAAAGACGGUUUUGCUGUCACUUAUAGAUGGAUCCGCGCCGCAUUAGCUAGUUGGUAAGGUAACGGCUUACCAAGGCAACGAUGCGUAGCCGACCUGAGAGGGUGAUCGGCCACACUGGAACUGAGACACGGUACAGACUCCUACGGGAGGCAGCAGUAGGGAGUCUUCCGCAAUGGGCGAAAGCCUGACGGAGCAACGCCGCGUGAGUGAUGAAGGUCUUCGGACCGUAAAACUCUGUUAUUAGGGAAGAACAAAUGUGUAAGUAACUAUGCACGUCUUGACGGUACCUAAUCAGAAAGCCACGGCUAACUACGUG
rnacentral:rRNA from 1 species